GACGAACGCUGGCGGCGCGCUUAACACAUGCCAGUCGAACGGAAAGGCCUGCUUUCCCUUGUGGAUUGCGGGUACUCGAGUGGCGAACGGGUGAGUAACACGUGAGUGAUCUGCCCCCAACUUGGGUAUAAGCCUGGGAAACUGGGUCUAAUUCCCGAUAGGACUGCAGGGUGGUGCCUGUGGUGGAAAACGAUUUUCUAGUGGUUGGGGAUGAGCUCGCGGCCUAUCAGCUUGUUGGUGGGGGAAUGGCCUACCAAGGCGGCGACGGGGAGCCGGCCUGGGAGGGUGGACGGCCACAUUGGGACUGGGUUACUGCCCAGACUCCUACGGGAGGCAGCAGUAGGGAAUAUUGCACAAUGGGCGGAAGCCUGAUGCAGCGACGCCGCGUGGGGGAUGACGGCCUUCGGGUUGUAAACUCCUUUCGACCGCGAGGAAGCCACCUGGUUGGAAGGGUGGUGACGGUAGUGGUAGAAGAAGCACCGGCUAACUACGUG
rnacentral:rRNA from 1 species